rnacentral:rRNA from 1 species
AACGAACGCUGGCGGCAGGCUUAACACAUGCAAGUCGAACGCUCCGCAAGGAGAGUGGCAGACGGGUGAGUAACGCGUGGGAAUCUACCCAUCUCUACGGAAUAACUCAGGGAAACUUGUGCUAAUACCGUAUACGCCCUUCGGGGAAAGAUUUAUCGGAGAUGGAUGAGCCCGCGUUGGAUUAGCUAGUUGGUGGGGUA